rnacentral:rRNA from 1 species
UACGUAGGCAGCGAGCGUUGUUCGGAAUUACUGGGCGUAAAGAGUGUGUAGGCGGUGUUCCCAGUCUGUUGUGAAAUCUCCCGGCUUAACUGGGAGGGUGCAGCGGAAACUAGAAUGCUAGAGGGUGGGAGAGGUAAGCGGAAUUCCUGGUGUAGCGGUGAAAUGCGUAGAUAUCAGGAGGAACACCUGUGGUGUAGACAGCUUACUGGGACGUGACUGACGCUGAGACGCGAAAGCGUGGGGAGCAAACAGG